AUUGAACGCUGGCGGCAUGCUUUACACAUGCAAGUCGAACGGUAACAGGCCGCAAGGUGCUGACGAGUGGCGAACGGGUGAGUAAUGCAUAGGAACGUGCCCAGUCGUGGGGGAUAACUACUCGAAAGAGUAGCUAAUACCGCAUACGAUCUAUGGAUGAAAGCGGGGGACCGUAAGGCCUCGCGCGAUUGGAGCGGCCGAUGUCAGAUUAGGUAGUUGGUGGGGUAAAGGCUCACCAAGCCAACGAUCUGUAGCUGGUCCGAGAGGACGACCAGCCACACUGGGACUGAGACACGGCCCAGACUCCUACGGGAGGCAGCAGUGGGGAAUUUUGGCGAAUGGGCGCAAGCCUGAUCCAGCAAUGCCGCGUGCAGGAAGAAGGCCUUCGGGUUGUAAACUGCUUUUGUACGGAACGAAACGGCUCUGGUUAAUACCCGGGGCUAAUGACGGUACCGUAAGAAUAAGCACCGGCUAACUACGUG
rnacentral:rRNA from 1 species